UCGUUCGCGCAAAGGGGAACCUAUUUAGCUAUCGCACUUAACACAAAGCUAAUUGCAAUUGCUUUCCGUUGUUUCGGUGGCUAAUAUUUCAUAUGUUUUUUAACAAAAAAUCCUACCACGGACUCCCACAAUUCUUCCAACAGGUGUGAUGUUAUGACUCCUCCCUAUUAUUGAAAAAUAAGUAACCGCAAGUGUUACAGUCGGAUUACUCCUUCUUGGUUGCUAUGGCAAUUACUACGGUCGGGUGUAAAGCAUGUACAGCAUCUGCGUGGAAAACAAGAUACAUCCCUGAACGCCGGCCCAACCGCACCUGAGGAAGAGGAGGAAGAGCGGAUUGCUGUGGCAACAGAACCUGUGAACACUGCAAUGGAAACUGAGACACCAAUGACAUCUCUGAUGGAAAUAGACUCACCCAAGACAUCACUGAUGGAAAACGAGGCAGGCAUGACAUCACUAGAGGAAAUUGACUCACCACUGACAUCACUGGUGGAAAGGGAGGCAGUCAUGGCAUCACUAGAGGAAAUGGACUCACCAGUGACAUCACUGGUGGAAAGUGAGGCAAUCAUGACAUCACUAGAGGAAAUGGACUCAUCAAUGACAUCACUGAUGGAAAGUGAGGCACCCAUGACAUCAAUGGUACAAACUGACAUAGUCAUGGCAACACUGAAGGAGAUCCACACAACUGAGGAACCUCUGGUGGAGAAGAGAGGUAAGGAGAAUGGAUUAAGUACUGUAAGAAAAGCUCUUCCCACUGAUUCAGCACCUUACAUGGCAUGUCUGCCAAUCUGUCAUGUCAUCAGGACUCAGGCUAGACUGGCAGGGUUUUUUUUAGUUUGACUGGCUGUGAUUGGUUAUUUGCAAUUGUGGAACAUGACAAAAGUACAGAUGAAAAGUUUAAGAAGAAAGUGUGCAGAAACUAUGUUUGUAUUGUUGAGAUAUUCCAAAUAUUGCUUAAUGAGAUGUCUGUGUGACUGCACUUUGAUGUGGAGAUUCCUGUUCCACUGAAUGACGCAGCGGGUGAUAAAUCUCUGGACCAUCCACACAGUAAGUCACAGGUAAUCCAAAUCCAUAGUUGGGUGGACAAUGUUGAAAAUACUCUUUUCGUUUUGCAUCCAGUGGCUAAAUAAUCACAAUUAACAGUAUUUCCCAGCAGAGACACACAGAGAGGCUGUGCUGAAGGAGUCUCUCUCUCUCAUCUUUUUCAGAGAAGAAACAAAAAAAACGUUAAGCGCUUCUUCAGCCGACUGUGUAAGGCCCUGAAACGCAGCUGCUGCUGUGUUACCAUGGAGAUUGACUGAGAUUUCAAAUGCUUACAUGUCUGUCUGUUAGUGUGCCUGUCUUUCCUGUCAGUCUGUGUGACUUUUCUGUCUGCCUUCCUGUCUGUUUUUGUCUCUGUCCAUUUUAGAUAUGACCUUGACCAAGAAGAAUCACUUAUCAUAAUUCAUAUAGUGCAAAAAAAAAAAAAAAAAAAAAACACAGAAAGAAGGAUUUCUACUUCAGAGUUUGACAGAAAUGAGAAAUACUUUCAUCACAAAUUGCAGAUAAUGUCCAGGAAGGUAGACAUAACAGACAUAUUCUGUCACAUUGGGAAUAUAAUGCGACCACGCAGGCACACCUGUGUGUUUUUUUGUUGUGUAGGAGACAGUGAUGAGUGUCGGCAUUUAUGGCUUCUCCUUGUGUAUUCUCAGAAACAAAAUAUUUUUAAAUAUUAAUUUAAGGAUUUGAACAGACACAGCUGAAUACUGGUGGGAUACUAGAAGGAUACUCUAAAAGGGAAGCCAGGGCUCACACUUGGUCUCUGUGAGAAUUCCUGCACCACAACUGUGCUACUCGCUGUUCAUAUUUAAUAAUGAAUCACUUUAAUAUCAUCUCUCUCUCUCUCUCUCUGGUGCAUUGCAUGCUGGGGGGAGAGGAAGGGGGGUGGUGUGUGGGAGACAGAGCUUGGAGGAGAUGCCACCCCUAUCCCUCCACCAUGGCUUCAAGUGUGUACCCGAGCUGAACGUUACAGUGGAGGAAGUUUUGCUUGUUGUGGGAGAGCAGGUGAACCCUGGUGACAUUGUUUCUGCUUCACAAAUGAAUAAAGCAGUUGUCGUUUUCUUGAACGAUAAAAAACUUGUUGAAACUGGUCUUAUUAUAAACAAAAUGUGUGUACAGGCCAUUACUUUUGCCUUCAGUCAAAGUAACUAUUUUGAAUGCGCCACCAUUUAUCCCAAAUUAAGUUAUAUAAGGCGAGUGGCACAUUUCGGAAAAUUUGUUAGAGCGUUUUCUCUAGAAUGUAAAAACAAAAACGCUAAAACAUUUGAUGUCUUUUAGACACCAAGUGUUCAUGUUUUUAGAUUCACUGGCACAAAUGCUUGAUAUUUUGCUGAGCACGAUAACAGAACGUACUUGAUUUAUGCUACCACAGGUAGUCCCCAGGGUUUUCUCUGUGGGGCAUUUGGCCAUAUUAGAAUCUAGUGUCCCAAACAAACAGUUGGAAACACCACAACCGGCCCGACCACUGCUAAUUCCUAAGCCACCGGCAACGGCGGUGAUGGCCAGGCUCAGGCGGAGCAGAGUCCGCCAGCAACCUCCCAGAGUAAAGCUCCUGACUCUAGCGAUACUGAGAACUCUAUUGCUGGGGGAUCCAAACGGUUGUCGCUCAACUCUGAACAGCUAGCCAAAAAUCCAGCGAAGCAACUAGCAGAAAGCGCAGCGAAAAAAUGAAAGAUAUUGGCGGUUGAGGAAUCAGAGCCGGCACAUACCAUUGAGGCAACCGCAACAGCUCAGUUACAUGUUAAGGGUGGUGAGUUUUCGACAAGCAACGAAACCGAUUUGAUCAUAAUAUCUUCUCCUGUUGUUAAUGACCCGAUUCCAAGCAAAAGUACAGAUGGAUAACUAACAACACAUGACAGCUACGCGACUGACACAAAUUCACAGGUAGUUUUAGAGUUUAGUGAAGAGGAUAUGAGUGAAUGCAAGUCACUGACAGAUGUGCCUUUUACUCAGGGUGACUCGGCGACAGAUUCACCCCUUUACACUUUAAAGGAAUUAAAUGCGUUCUUAGACGAGGCGUAUCGAAGACCUGGAGUUAAUUUAACUUUUUUCCCGAUAGGGAAAAAUUCAUUAGGUCAGUAUCUACACUCUAAAAGGCCGUUGGAUAUGAUGACCUAAGCAAAAAGAAACGUUUCCAUCUUAGUAAAUAUGUAACAAUGAUCAGACAUGGUUGGAUUGCUAGUAAAAAAACUGUUGGUAAAAAAUCAAAAUUAGCAUGCAUCAUGGGGUGUCCUUUUUCCUAUGUAUCUUUCUUCUGGCUGUCCUCUUUUUUCCCUAUUUUUAAUCUCAUGGAGAUUCUAAGGGUGGGAUCCCUAAAUAUUAAUGGAGGUAUGGACAGGGCUAAAAGGGCAAGUGUUUCAGAGGUAAUACAACAAAAGAAACUGAACAUAAUUUUUCUCCAGGAAACGCACACUGAUAGUAACAAUGAAGUUGAGUGGGCAAUGUUAUGGGAAGGGCAGUCUGUGUUUAGUCAUGGGACAAAUUUUAGUGGUGGUGUGGCUGUUAUUUUUUCUCCUGGUCACAAAUUUACUCUUUUGUGUACACAAGAAAUAGUGAAGGGAUGUGCUAGGUUAGUCAAGGUGGAAACUGAGGGAAAUAUUUUCUUUUUUUAUCAAUGCUUAUGCCCCAAAUGCUGGUCAGGAAAGACUAGUUUUUUUUAGGAAAUUGAAGGAUGUGUUGCAACAGUGCAGUGGGGAGGGAUGCAUUAUUUUAGGAGGAGACUGGAACUGUACUGUAGAUUUUACCGAUGACCGCACUGGAGAAGAACCGCACCCUCCCUCUGAUUAGAUUUUAUGUCUGAUACUUUUAACAACAGAAUUAUGGAAUGUUUCAUUGCACUUGUGGGUUUUACUGAUCACCAUCUUGUGGUUUUAAAUGUGUGUCGUCUGCUCCAAUAAAUACGACUUAUUGGCAUUUUAACACAUAAUUAUUGAAAGAUGUGUUCUUCUGUGAACAAUGGUGGGGGGGGAAGAUUGGCUUCGAAAUCUAAGGCAACGGUGGGAGGUUGGGAAAACUCAAAUGAAGGUUUUCCGUUUGCAGUACACUGGUUUCUGUACUGCAAGGUUGAAGGGUAUGUUUAAAGCACUUGUGUAGGACAUCACAAUUAUUUAACAGAGAAUGCUUCAUCAAAAUAACCACUGGUUUGGUCACGUUUUUGCAGCAUUAAGGACAUGGAUGCCCCCAAUGCAAUCUUUUUUAAUCUUGAAAGAACCUAUGCAAAAACUAAGCAAAUAGUCUCCCUCUGUCGGCCAGGAAGCCUGACAACAGACAGCGGUGAGAUGUGCUGGCUUGCAGUGAACUUCCACUCCGCUUUGUACAUGGCCGAGGACUGUGACCCCGAGAGCGCCACUCAGCUCCUGCAAGGGCUACCGCAGCUCAGACCGGCACGAAAGGAGGAGCUGGACUCUGAGAUCAUACUACAGGCAUUUACAACUGCUUUCCUCAGGGUGCACCCCUGGACUGGAAGUGUUACAAUCAGAAUUUUAUAAGCACUUCUGGGCUAAUGUUAGUGGUGAUUUUCACGAGGUGUUCAUGAGGGAUUUUUACCAAUAUCUUCUCGGCGUGCUGUGAUGAAAUUGAUACCAAAAAGGGGGGGAUGUCUCUUAAAUAAUUGGAGGCCUGUAGCCCUUUUGUGCACGGACUAUAAGAUCCUGUCCAAGUGUCUUUCAAAUCAUCUGAAUACACACCUUGCCUCAUGAGUACAUAUAGAUCAAUCUUAUUGCAUCCCAGAUUGGUCAGUAAUGGA